rnacentral:lncRNA from 1 species
AAUUUCUGUUCUUUUACAUUUGCUGAGGAGUGCUUUACUUCCAAUUAUGUGGUCAAUUUACUUCCAAUUAUGUGGUCAAUUUUAGAAUAAGUGCAAUGUGGCACUGAGAAGAAUAUAUAUUCUGUUGAUUUGGGGUGGAGAGUUCUAUGGAUGUCUAUUAGGUUUGCUUGGUUCUGAGCUGAGUUCAAGUCCUGAAUAUCCUUGUUAAUUUUUUGUCUCGUUGAUCUGUCUAAUACUGACAGUGGGGUGUUAAAGUCUCCCACUAUUAUUGUGUGGGAGUCUAAGUCUCUUUAUAAGUCUCUAAGAACUUGCUUUAUGAAUCUGGGUACUCCUGUUUUGAGUGC